rnacentral:rRNA from 1 species
UACGGAGGGAGCUAGCGUUAUUCGGAAUUACUGGGCGUAAAGCGCACGUAGGCGGCUUUGUAAGUAAGAGGUGAAAGCCCGGAGCUCAACUCCGGAACUGCCUUUUAGACUGCAUCGCUUGAAUCCAGGAGAGGUGAGUGGAAUUCCGAGUGUAGAGGUGAAAUUCGUAGAUAUUCGGAAGAACACCAGUGGCGAAGGCGGCUCACUGGAGCUGGUAUUGACGCUGAGGUGCGAAAGCGUGGGGAGCAAACAGG